GGGCCCGCACAAGCGGUGGAGCAUGUGGUUUAAUUCGAUGAUACGCGAGGAACCUUACCAGGGCUUAAAUGGGAAAUGACAGGGGCAGAGACGCCCCCUUCUUCGGACGGACUGCAAGGUGCUGCAUGGUUGUCGUCAGCUCGUGCUGUGAAGUGUCGGGUUAAGUCCCAUAACGAGCGCAACCCCCAUUUCUAGUUGCCAGCGGUUCGGCCGGGGACUCUAGAGAAACUGCCAGCGUAAGCUGUGAGGAAGGUGGGGAUGACGUCAAAUCAUCACGGCCCUUACAUCCUGGGCCACACACGUGCUACAAUGGUGGGGACAACAGGUUGCCAACCGCGAGGGUGAGCCAAUCCAAAACCCCAUCUCAGUUCGGAUCGGAGUCUGCAACUCGACUCCGUG
rnacentral:rRNA from 1 species